AGUGAACGCUGGUGGUAGGCCUAACACAUGCAAGUCGAACGGCAGCACAGUAAGAGCUUGCUCUUACGGGUGGCGAGUGGCGGACGGGUGAGGAAUACAUCGGAAUCUACUUUUUCGUGGGGGAUAACGUAGGGAAACUUACGCUAAUACCGCAUACGACCUACGGGUGAAAGCAGGGGAUCUUCGGACCUUGCGCGAUUGAAUGAGCCGAUGUCGGAUUAGCUAGUUGGCGGGGUAAAGGCCCACCAAGGCGACGAUCCGUAGCUGGUCUGAGAGGAUGAUCAGCCACACUGGAACUGAGACACGGUCCAGACUCCUACGGGAGGCAGCAGUGGGGAAUAUUGGACAAUGGGCGCAAGCCUGAUCCAGCCAUACCGCGUGGGUGAAGAAGGCCUUCGGGUUGUAAAGCCCUUUUGUUGGGAAAGAAAAGCAGCAGAUUAAUACCCCGCUGUUCUGACGGUACCCAAAGAAUAAGCACCGGCUAACUUCGUG
rnacentral:rRNA from 1 species